CACGUCCCUUUCUCCUCUCACACACUCUUUCUCUGUUUUCACGUCUCCCUCACGUUUCCUCUUAACUACAUCCACACUCCACCUCACCUAUUACUUACACUCUCACUCAACGUUACCAAAAAAAAGAAAAUAAAGGAAAGAAAUCCGUCUCUCUUCCCUUACAGACUCUCCAAAUCACAACUUCCACCACCACCGUUUUACCACCGUGAAUGCGUCAUAACAACGCUCAACCACCGUGACGCCACACCUACUACCACCGCGUAGAACCCUUCUUCCAUCUCCGACCACCACCAUAACAGCGAUCUACCCAAAUCCAAACCACCGCACACCUCUCUCUCCGUCCGUCUUCCGUUAACUCACCUUCAUCCAAACCACCGCGCGUCUCUUCCUCUUCACGACCGCACAAACCCGCCGGCGACUUUUCUCAUGCCUCACACAUAAACCCUUUGUUGUACCCUCUCGAUCUCGCACAGAACAACCACAACCUUCCUCUACGAAAAUGACACCGCGUCCUUCUUCUUCGAAGAAACUCCAAAUCGAACUCGCAAUAUGCUUAGAUGUUGCAACCACACAUCACUACACAAUCUGAACCAAGUAGAGGAUUAAAAAUUCUCCUUUCGCUUUCAGCGUCGUGUUCCAAGCUCUAACGUUUGUGGAUUUGUGUUUAGAAAUCUGUCAUCAUCCUUGCAUUUACAGCUCCUGAGCUUCAUCAUCCUCGCCGCGUUUUAGCGCAACAUCACGUUCAAGCUUCAUGGAUUACGUUUCGGAGCAACAUCGUGUUCAGGAGACGAGUUCGUGUUUUAUCAAUUCCAUCGUCGGAUUUUGGAAGUCGGCAUCACAUUUUCGUGUUUCACUGGAUUGAAGCGACGCAGUGGUUCUUCGGCGAUUGUUCAGGAAGAAGUUUUGAUGCAGUUUCGUUUUCGGAUGCCGUCUGUAGAGGCAACAUGGAGAUGAAAGUGAAAUGGAAUGAAGAUGAAGGUGCAGAAUCGAUGCAAUUCGGUUGCAGAGCCAAAGAAUGAUGAAGCCUUGAAAUGAAGUGAGAGUGCUUGCUGUUUUGUUUUAAUAUUUUGAACUUUGGACAUUGAAAUGUGUGGCUGUGUAGUGAGAUCUAUUCCAAACAUUGAAUUUUGUUUUAGUAUUUAGAAACAUUGUAUUGCAGUAUGUGUUGGAUAUUGUAGUUUGUUUUUGCAUUUUUAUAUUAAACUUUACUACUAAUACACAUUCAUUCUUGAAAUUGAUAUAUAGUUUGUUAACUAUGCAUUCAUACGUAAGAUUGAUGGACAAAUUGUUUUGUUUUUUAUAUAUAACAUAUAAUAUGUAUAAAUUGGUAAUCGUAUGGCACAUAUAGUACAGUGUGUUGGUUGGAAACCUUUUUGCUUUAGAAUGGAUUGAUAAAUUGUCAUAAAUAA